UAGAGUGGUGUUUUGGUUGAGGUUUGUUUAUGGCUCCUCAGACCGCUGUGUAUUGCUAUCGUGCGGUUGUUACUAAAGUUGGUAUAACUAGAGAAGCAAGCAGUCUGUAACAUUCAUCUCUCGAGGUCGUGUUUAACUCUAACUUAAAAUUAAUGUGUAUGCAGAGACCUGAGACCCUAGUGGACCACUAAGGAACUGCACUUUUUAGCAAUUUUAUAACAGCUACAGAUCCUAAGGCUGAAAGUGGCAUUUGCUGGUUUGUGAUACCAAAGAACCACUAUCGCCCCCUACUACGAUCUGGUAUUUCCGCUAAAUCCAAGCAUGAAGCGAUGGAAGACGGUGACCUGGAGGAACUUGGAGUUCAGGGUGUUGACUUGGUCUCCAAGUUACAAAGAUUUCAACUCAACAAAAAAUCGAUGUGAUGUUCUUUUUGGUACUUAUAACUUUUUUUCUAACAGAGAUAAAAACUGAUCCUGAACAUACUGAGAGUCAAUUCUCCAGUUUUAAAUGCUCAAUAAGUAGUUUUUUAAUGUGAUAUCUCUGUUGUUUCAGUAAGAAUGAACUGAGCUGUAACCUCUGCCUCCAGGAUGCCCUGACCUCCAGCCCCGGGAUGAUGGCGAGGUCAGCGUGAGCAGGCGAUCUAUCAGGAGGAGAACAACAACUGUGAAAACACUUGUAUCAAACUGUACCCACGCUCGGCCCCCACUUUUCCGUACGACAACUGAAAACCCCCAAAAAGGAGACUGAAGAUGAGACAAUGGGAUCGACUUUCAGAGGCAUCUGAGGCCCCUCUGCGCGUCUGUGCCGCCGUCCGUCACGCGGCUGUCAAGCCAUCAUUUAAACUAAACACAAAACGGGCGCACGCUGGAAAUGCUUUCCUGGAACGAGCUCGCUGACAUUUAGAGAGCACGAACAUGAUCACAAACACAUGCAGGCAUCACAUUUGCACCGCACAAAACACCCACUUUGACAGUCCGACCACAGACAAUCACUUAUCUUCACACAUGGAGACACACACACACAUGUCAGGACAGUCUUGGUGGUUGAGUGUCACCUGUUAAACUCCCUCAAACACACACCUCUCAGCCUCAGACAAGGGGAACCAAGGGCCGGGGACUGCUGCUGUCUGGAAACUGGAUACAAGAUUGUUUGAAGACUUAAUAGAUUCACAGCGUUAACACCACCUCACACUCCCCUUUGUAUCUAUUUCAAUCACUUUGUUGUCACAGCAAGAUAUGAGGACUGUUUACACGCUCUCAAACAUGAUGAGACAUCAUGUCUGAUCAAAAAACAACCACAUCUCCUCUAAUGCCACACCAAACUCUGCAGAAACCAUUUCCUUCCUCGUUCUGAGGGGAUAAUUACACAUCACAUCAGAUAAGACAGGAGACGAGUCAAAAUAAACACUCUCUCUUUCCUUCCCACCAUCAAUCAACGGAGCGGGGCGACGAAUGUUACACAAUGACACAGGCAAAGCUGAUACAGCGGAGGAGAUGUUGUAAUGGAUAGGCAGAGAAGGAGGGAUGAGACAGAGGAAGGCUGGAAAUAAGGAGAUGACUGUGAGGAAGAUAAGAGGUGUUAAAAAAACGGGAGAUAAGGAAGAGAAAAUGAGGGCAGGUGGAUGAAACAGAGAGGAGCUGGAUCUUGUAGAGAGGUGGAUUUAAAGUGGCUGCAGUGGACCAUUAGACAGGGUCUGUUUCUGGGGGGCUCUCCUGAUGGAAUCUUAAAGCCUGUUGAUCAGAGAUUUCAGUCUGGGUGAGUCAGAAAUUAAUCAGCAUCAGGCGUCCUUGGAGAAAAGACAUCCACCGUCCUAACUCUCACUCUGAAAACACUCCUGGUCCUUGAGGUACUUUGAUUUUAAGGGAUUUUGUCAGCUGAAAGUAGCAUCAGGUGUGAAACGAAGCCUCGCUCAGGUUUCUUGUUUCUGUCUCUCCCCUGAUCACACACACUCACACACACACACACACACAUACACAAUGAGUGUUGGGAUUAUCGUGUGAUCUGCAGAGCAGCGCUGAGUGUCUUUGUGCUGCUGUUACAGGAAGUGUGUAAAGAUAUCCUGAAGCUCCUCUGUAUCCUGGGGGCUGUAAACCACAUAAAGGGGAGAAAACAAAACCAGCAGGGCCGGAAAUCCUGCCAUCACAGACAGGUGGGGUGACAAUGGCUGUCCUCCUUCGCUACCUCUGUCCCUCCCUCCUUCUCUCUCUGUAACUCAUCCAUCACUUUGCUUUCAGUCCUCCUCUCUCUCCUUAUCUCCUUCCCAUCACACUCUCACCUUCUUUUUGUUCCUGCAUACUCUUUCUCUCCUUUUCUUCGCUUUCUUUGUUACUGUUAUUCUUCUCUCACCUCCUCCUCCUCCUCCUCCCUCAUCACUCCUCUCUCUCUCUCUUUUUCUGUCUACCAACCUUUAAUGGACGAUACAUACAUUCAAAGGUACGCUCUUUCCCUUUGCACGCUGCUGUCUGUUUAGAUUACUGAUGCGAUUGAUUCGUCCUAACAUCCCCCAGAAAAAGGCCAUAAAUUGAGUGGCUCCAGGAUUGUAGAGGCACCAGCAGGGGGCGCUCAUGUUACACAAAGAAUACCAGUCCAAGGGUAAUGCUAACAAGAUUAUAUUACGUAAUUAGUGGAGAGUAAUGAGCAAACUCAGUCAAUGAUGAUAACACCUUCCCUCAAAACAUCCUCAAUUAUCUACUUUUUCAAGGGAUAUUCCGGCGUAAAAUUAAUUUAGGCUCAAACACACCGUAACACCGAGUUAGACACCCCCUGGAGAGAGAUGAAUGUUGCCAACCGCUUGCUUCUCUAGUUAUACCAACUUUAGUUACGACCGCAGGAUAGCAAUACUAAGCGGUCUCAGGAGCCACAAACAAACCUCAACCAAAA